rnacentral:rRNA from 1 species
AAGUUACUCAAGCGCACAUAAAGGAUGCCUUGACACAAGACACCGACGAAGGACGUAGUUGGCUGCGAUAAGCCGCGGGGAGCUGCCUAACAAGCUUUGAUCCGUGGAUGUCCGAAUGGGGAAACCCCGCUGAAGUCAUGUUCAGCGGCGCUUAUCUGAAUUCAUAGGAUAAGUAGCGGUAACCGGGGGAACUGAAACAUCUUAGUACCUCGAGGAAGAGAAAGUAAACAACGAUUCCGUCAGUAGUGGCGAGCGAACGCGGAACAGCCCAAACCUUA